rnacentral:rRNA from 1 species
CCUACGGGCGGCAGCAGUGAGGAAUAUUGGUCAAUGGACGAGAGUCUGAACCAGCCAAGUAGCGUGAAGGAUGACUGCCCUAUGGGUUGUAAACUUCUUUUAUCUGGGAAUAAAACAGUGUAUGCAUACCCUCUUGUAUGUACCAUAUGAUUAAGGUCCGGUUAACUCCGUGCCAGCAACUGCGGUAAUAGGGGGGAUCCGGACGUUAUCGGGAUUUAUUGGGUUUAAAGGGUGCGCAGGUGGAUUGUUAGGGCAGGUGUGAAAGUUAGCGGUUAAAGCGGAGAAGUGCAAUUGAAACUGGCAUGCUGGAGUACAGUAGAGGCGGGAGGAAUGUGUGGUGUAGCGGGGAAAUGCUUAGAUAUCACGAAGAACUCCGAUUGCGAAGGCAGCUCACGGGACUGCAACUGACACUGAUGCUCGAAAGUGUGGGUAUCAAACAGGAUUAGAGACCCCAGUAGUC